rnacentral:rRNA from 1 species
CUGCUUCUACUUUCUAUAUGGAGCUGGGAGCGUCUGCCUGUUGGACGCCCGAAGAGCGUCAGGUUUGAUCCUUGGUAUGCAGAUGAACAUGACGAAUUACGGCGCCCCACGUGGGCUUACAAGUGGGAUAUCGUUUCCGAGAUGACGAACGAUGUCAAUCUCAUGUACCAAAAGUACAUUGCCGAGUUGGACAUGAUUACGCCUGAGCAGGUAAGGAGGUCAUUACUUUAG